rnacentral:rRNA from 1 species
GGUUCGAUCCUGGCUCAGAUUGAACGCUGGCGGGAUGCUUUACACAUGCAAGCCGAAUGGGGCAGCACGGACUUCGGUCUGGUGGCGAGUGGUGAACGGGUGAGUAAUGUAUCGGAACGUGCCUAGUAAAGGGGGAUAACUACGCGAAAGCGUAGCUAAUACCGUACGCCCUUCGGGGAAAGCGGGGACCUUCGGGCCUGCACUAUUAGAUGGCCAGAUAUCGGAUUAGCUAGUUGGUGGGUAACGGCUCACCAAGGCGACGAUCCGUAGCUGGUUUGAGAGGACGACCAGCGCCACACUGGGACUGAGAUGACGGCCCAGACUACCGGAGGCAGCAGUGGGAAUUUUGGACAAUGGGGAAACCCUGAUCCAGCCAUCCCGCGUGUGGGUGAUGAAGGCCUUCGGGUUGUAAAGCACUUUUGGCAGGAGCAAAACGAAUAAUGAUACCCCGUGCAACUGACGGUACUCAGCAGAAUAAGCACCGGCUAACUACGUGCCAGCAGCCGCGUGUAAUACGUAGGUGCAAGCGUUAAUCGGAAUUACUAAGUGGAAGCGUGCGGCAGUGGUUCGGAAAGAAAGAUGUGAAAUCCCAGAGCUUAACUUUGAACUGCAUUUUAACUACCGAGCUAGAGUGUGUCAGGAGUGGAGGUAGAAUUCGCGUGUAGCAGGAAAUGCGUAGAUAUGCGGAGAACACCGAUGGCGAAGGCAGCCCUCCUUGGGAGCAACACACUGACGCUCAAUGCACGAAAGCGUGGGGAGCAACAGGAUUAGAUGGCCCUGGUAGUCCACGCCCUAAACGAUGUCACAAUCAGCUGUUGGGGCCUUCGGGCUCUGGUAGCGCAGCUUUCAAUCGCGUAGUUGACCGCCUGGGGAGUACGGUCGCAAGAUUAAAACUCAAAUAGAAUUGAUUGGGACCCGCACAAGCGGUGGAUGAUGGAUUAAUUCCGAUGCAACGCGAAAACUCCACCUACCCUUGGACAUGUCUGGAACCCUGAAGAGAUUUGGGAGGCUGCAAGAGAACCGGAACACAGGUGCUGCAUGGCUGUCGUCAGCUCGUGUCGUGAGAUGCUGGGCUAAGUCCCGCAACGAGUUACAACCCUUGUCAUUAGUUGCCACGAAAGGGCACUCUAAUGACUGCUAUGGGUGACAAACCGGAGGAAGGUGGGGAUGACGUCAGUCCUCGCGGCUCUGCGGGGUAGGCUUCACACGUCACAAUGGUCGGGACAGAGGGUCGCCAACCCGCGAGGGGGAGCCAAUCCCAGAAACCCGAUCGUAGUCCGGAUCGCAGUCUGCAACUCGACUGCGUGAAGUCGGAAUCGCCAGUAAUCGCGGAUCAGCAUGUCGCGGUGGAAUACGUCUGGUCUGUACACACCGCCGUCACACCAUGGGAGUGGGUUUUACCAGAAGUAGUUAGCCUAACCGUAAGGAGUGGCGAUUACCACGGUAGGAUUCAUGACUGGGGUGGAAGUCACCAAGGUAA